rnacentral:RNase_P_RNA from 1 species
CCAGACGGCCGGAUGGCCGCCCCCCGGAUCGCGCAAGCCCCGGGGGGAGGAAAGUCCGGGCUCCACGGGAACACGGUGCCGGGUAACGCCCGGCGGGGGCGACCCUAGGGAAAGUGCCACAGAAAGCAAACCGCCCGGCUGGCCGGGUAAGGGUGAAAGGGUGCGGUAAGAGCGCACCGCGCCGCCGGUAACGGCGGUGGCAGGGCAAACCCCACCGGGAGCAAGAUCAAAUAGGGACCCAUGCCGAAAGGCGGGCGGGUUUCCGCGCCGGGUCCGGGUAGGUCGCGCGAGGCGCCCGGUGACGGGCGUCCCAGAUGAAUGGCCAUCGACCGAGGGCUUCGGCCUUGGGAGACAGAACCCGGCUUACAGGCCGUCUGGCACG